AUUGAACGCUGGCGGCAUGCUUUACACAUGCAAGUCGAACGGUAACGCGGGGGCAACCCUGGCGACGAGUGGCGAACGGGUGAGUAAUACAUCGGAACGUGCCCAGUAGUGGGGGAUAGCUCGGCGAAAGCCGGAUUAAUACCGCAUACGACCUACGGGUGAAAGCGGGGGAUCGCAAGACCUCGCGCUAUUGGAGCGGCCGAUGGCAGAUUAGCUGGUUGGUGGGGUAAAAGCCUACCAAGGCUACGAUCUGUAGCUGGUCUGAGAGGACGACCAGCCACACUGCGACUGAGGCACGGCCCAGACUCCUGCGGGAGGCAGCAGUGGGGAAUUUUGGACAAUGGGCGCAAGCCUGAUCCAGCAAUGCCGGGUGUGUGAUGAAGGACUUCGGGUUGUAAAGCACUUUUAGUGGGAACGAAACGGUCCGGGCCAAUACCCUGGACUACUGACGGUACCCGCAGAAUAAGCACCGGCUAACUACGUGCCAGCCGCCGCAGUAA
rnacentral:rRNA from 1 species